rnacentral:sRNA from 1 species
CAAUUAACUUAGCAGUUGCUAUGGAAACAGCAGCGAUGGAUGCAGCUGAAGUACAGGGGGUGAAACCUGAGACAGUGCACAAGAUUAACACACAACCCAAACCGCGUCAACCUCAGCUAUUCAGCAAGAAACCUACAGGGAGAAACACUUCAUCUUUUGCACGUCCAACAACCAAGAGAAACACAUGCUACCGCUGUGAUGGUGAACAUCCAACCUCCCAGUGUCGACAUAUUAACUCCGUCUGUUCUUACUGUCAGAGGGAUGGACACAUUGAGCGAGCAUGCAUGAAGAAGAAGCGCAACAGAAACAAGGGACAUAACACUUCCCUAUACAAUGAAGAUGAGGAAUUUGAUUCUGAGGAAGAACACUACCAGGAGGGUGAAGGAGAACCACUUUUACACAUUAAUAGUACCUUCCAUAUGAAGUCACAUCAUGAACCUUCAAUAACAGUGCACCCAGUUAUUGGGGGCAAGGUCAUAAAGAUGGAAAUUGACUCAGGGACAGCUGUUUCAGUGAUCUCAGAAAACAUCAUGAAACCAGACUUGGCUACUCCAGUCCUCUGUAAACAAUAUGGUUCAAAGGCAAAACACUGCGGAAAUGAGAUUCGGGAGUUCUCUGAGGGUAACCCAGUAAACACACGUGAUUACCGCUGUAAUGCAGACAAGUGGGUGAAAGGACAAAUCCAUUCUCGAACUGGACCCCUGUCUUACAAGGUGGACGUCAAUGGAACGCUAUGGAAAAGGCACGUUGACCAGAUAGUUGGAACUUCAAAAAAUCAAGCUGCUGACCCAACUCCUGUGGACAUCACUGCUGAAACUCCUUUUGAGUCAUGA